ACGUUCGGGUAAUCGCUGCAAGAGCUAUUAGCGAAUUGUAGAGGAAAGUCCAUGCUCGCACGGUCUGAGAUGUCCGUAGUGUUCGUGCCUAGUGAAUUCAUAAGCUAGGGCAGUUGGGGAGAAUCUCAACUGACGGCUGGGAAAAUACCUAAGUCUCUAUUGGGAUAUGGUAUGAGUACCUUUAAAAGUGCCACAGUGACGAUGCCUUUCUAGAAAUGGAAAGGGUGGAACGGGUAAACCCCACGAGCGAGAAACCCAAAUUAUGGUAGGGGCACUUUCUCUGAGGAAAUCAACAAGGAGAAGGACAGAUUCCAAAUUGAAUCUGUAGAUAGAUGAUUGCCGCCUUAGUACGAGACAUGAAUGGUCGUUUGAAGUACUUUGGUACAGAACAUGGCUUAUAGAA
rnacentral:RNase_P_RNA from 2 species